GGUGGCUCAGUGGUAGAGUUAUGCCUUGCAUGCAUGAGACCCUGGGUUCGAUUCCUCAGCACCA
rnacentral:tRNA from 1 species